rnacentral:rRNA from 1 species
CUACGGGUCGCACCAGUGGGGAAUAUUGCACAAUGGGCGCAAGCCUGUUGCAGCCAUGCCGCGUGUAUGAAGAAGGCCUUCGGGUUGUAAAGUACUUUCAGCGGGGAGGAAGGGAGUAAAGUUAAUACCUUUGCUCAUUGACGUUACCCGCAGAAGAAGCACCGGCGAACUCCGUGCCAGCAGCCGCGGUAAUACGGAGGGUGCAAGCGUUAAUCGGAAUUACUGGGCGUAAAGCGCACGCAGGCGGUUUGUUAAGUCAGAUGUGAAAUCCCCGGGCUCAACCUGGGAACUGGAUCUGAACUGGCAAGCUUGAGUCUCGUAGAGGGGGGUAGAAUGCCAGGUGUAGCGGUGAAAUGCGUAGAGAUCUGGAGGAAUACCGGUGGCGAAGGCGGCCCCCUGGACGAAGACUGACGCUCAGGUGCGAAAGCGUGGGGAGCAAACAGGAUUAGAUACCCUAGUAGUC